UCGAGAAUUUUUGACAAUGGGGGAAACCCUGAUCGAGCGACGCCGCGUGGAGGAUGAAGGUCUUCGGAUUGUAAACUCCUGUCAUUGGGGAACAAGGUGCAUACGUUAACUGCGUGUGCAUUGAUAGUACCCGAAGAGGAAGAGACGGCUAACUCUGUGCCAGCAGCCGCGGUAAUACAGAGGUCUCAAGCGUUGUUCGGAUUCAUUGGGCGUAAAGGGUGCGUAGGCGGCGCGGUAAGUCGGGUGUGAAAUCUCGGAGCUUAACUCCGAAACUGCAUUCGAUACUGCCGUGCUUGAGGACUGGAGAGGAGACUGGAAUUUACGGUGUAGCGGUGAAAUGCGUAGAUAUCGUAAGGAAGACCAGUGGCGAAGGCGGGUCUCUGGACAGUUCCUGACGCUGAGGCACGAAGGUCAGGGGAGCAAACGGGAUUAGAUACCCCGGUAGUCCUGACAGUAAACGGUGCACGUUUGGUGUGGGAGGAUUCGACCCCUUCUGCGCCGGAGCUAACGCGUUAAACGUGCCGCCUGGGGAGUACGGUCGCAAGAUUAC
rnacentral:rRNA from 1 species